UACGUAGGUGGCAAGCGUUAUCCGGAUUUACUGGGUGUAAAGGGAGCGUAGACGGCGAUGCAAGUCUGAGGUGAAAGCCCGGGGCUCAACCCCGGGACUGCUUUGGAAACUGUAUGGCUGGAGUGCUGGAGAGGCAAGCGGAAUUCCUAGUGUAGCGGUGAAAUGCGUAGAUAUUAGGAAGAACACCAGUGGCGAAGGCGGCUUGCUGGACAGUAACUGACGUUGAGGCUCGAAAGCGUGGGGAGCAAACAGG
rnacentral:rRNA from 1 species